rnacentral:rRNA from 1 species
GGCUUAUUGAGAGAAGAUUUUAGGUCUAACCUGCCCCCUGAAGUAUUUAAAUGGCCGCAGUAUUUUGACUGUGCUAAGGUAGCAUAAUAAUUAGUUUUUUAAUUGAAAGCUAGAAUGAAUGGUAUCAUGAAAAAAUUACUGUCUCUUUUAAAAAAUUAAAAUUUUAUUUUUAAGUUAAAAAGCUUAAAUAUUAUUAAAAGACGAGAAGACCCUAUAGAAUUUUAUUUAAAUUUAUUUUUAAUAAGUUAGUAUAUAAAAUUUAAAAAUAAAUUUAUAUUUAGUUGGGGUGAUUAGAAAAAUAAAGUAUCUUUUUUUUAUAUAAACAUUAAUUUAUGAUUUUAUGAUUCACAUUAGUGAUUUAAGAAUAAAUUACCUUAGGGAUAACAGCGUAAUUUUUUUUUAGAGUUCUAAUCAAAAAAAAAGAUUGCGACCUCGAUGUUGGAUUAAAAUUUAUUUUUGGUGUAGUAGCUAAAAGAUUAAGUCUGUUCGACUUUGAAAAUUUUACA